CCUACGGGUGGCAGCAGUAGGGAAUUUUCGGCAAUGGGGGGAACCCUGACCGAGCAACGCCGCGUGAAGGAAGAAGGAAUUCGUUCUGUAAACUUCUUUUAAGAGGGAAGAGCAGAAGACGGUACCUCUUGAAUAAGCCACGGCUAACUACGUGCCAGCAGCCGCGGUAAUACGUAGGUGGCAAGCGUUGUCCGGAUUUACUGGGUGUAAAGGGCGUGCAGCCGGGAAGACAAGUCAGAUGUGAAAUCCCGCGGCUCAACCGCGGAACUGCAUUUGAAACUGUUUUUCUUGAGUACCGGAGAGGUCAUCGGAAUUCCUUGUGUAGCGGUGAAAUGCGUAGAUAUAAGGAAGAACACCAGUGGCGAAGGCGGAUGACUGGACGGCAACUGACGGUGAGGCGCGAAAGCGUGGGGAGCAAACAGGAUUAGAUACCCGAGUAGUC
rnacentral:rRNA from 1 species